rnacentral:rRNA from 1 species
UACGUAGGGGGCUAGCGUUAUCCGGAAUUACUGGGCGUAAAGGGUGCGUAGGUGGUUUCUUAAGUCAGAGGUGAAAGGCUACGGCUCAACCGUAGUAAGCCUUUGAAACUGGGAAACUUGAGUGCAGGAGAGGAGAGUGGAAUUCCUAGUGUAGCGGUGAAAUGCGUAGAUAUUAGGAGGAACACCAGUAGCGAAGGCGGCUCUCUGGACUGUAACUGACGCUGAGGCACGAAAGCGUGGGGAGCAAACAGG